rnacentral:tRNA from 2 species
GGGUAGUUGAAGGGAAUGGCAUACCUUUCACGCUUAGAACGUGAAGUUUCUGAGUUCGAGUCUCAGACUACCUA